UUCCUGUGUUCCUGAAGUGAGAAACAUCAAGUGGAUUAUUUUUGUGCAACGAGUAAACUUGCAAUCAGCUUGGCCUGUUACGAAAUCCAAAAGCUAUUUGCCACCUACUAUUUUUACAUUCCAACAUGCUAUUCAGUUGCACUUCAUUGAGAGUUGGUGAAAUGUUAAUAGCAAAGGAUACUGACCAUGAAGAAAAAUUAGAAAUGACACAAGCCAUAUGGGUUGGAAUACCAUCAUGCCCAUGACAUCAUUCUGCUACUCUUUCUUCGUUCGUCAUGUCAUUCAGUUACAUGUGAGAAGUGCACUAUGUGUGGUGUUUCAAAUCGUUUCCACGUAGCCCAUUAAGUGGCAGGAUUUUGUGUUGUGGAGUAUGCUCGUGGAUCUAAAACUCAAAAGGAUGCUGUCUGCAAAUAAAUAUUACCAACAAAGCAAAAUCAAUUGAUUGGAUACCUUACGUCAUUCUUAGACUCUUUGCCCACUCAUCAUCUCAUCAGUCUCAAUCUGCAUCCCUUCUACUUUACAAGUCAAAACACGACUACGCUUUGCCCGUCACCCCAUCUUCGUCUCGCCCAUCUCCUCGCCCGUCGCCUCGUGGUGGCCACGUCAUCGCCUGUUUUUUAUG